rnacentral:lncRNA from 1 species
CACAGGCUGGAAAGUCUGAUUGAAGUACCACAAAGUUGAUUGACAUACCACUUAUUUCCUGUAAGGAGGCUCAAAGUUCACCACUAGCAGGACAGCUAAAGCGACGGCAGACAGUCAUCACAUCAGCUGAGUAAUGACUGCAGCCUGUGAAACAGGUCUGAGGGGCGCAGAAGUUCUGACAGCUUCAGCAGAUGCAACAACUUCGUUCCAGCUCAAAAGUCGUUAAAAUAAUUCCUAAAUGCUGAAACUCAGAAGAAAAGACGAGGCCAAAGGUCCCCCCUUCACUGGGGCCUUAGGUACCCAAGGAUCUUUGCUAGGUGCCUGGAAGGCCUUUGGAAUCAUCCAGUAACAAGUCAGAUAGGAAGAAAAGUGUAUUUUGUUCUUCUCCCACUGGCUAUUUAGGUUAAGCAGUUUAUUUUCUUCGGUAAAUCUCGUUGGCCAAAUGUCUCUCUGAUGCACCAUCACGAGCAGGUCGGCUUCAGCGUAACUGGCGGUUUCUCCACCGGGUGGCAGUGAAAGCCCGAGUUACCGAGGGGAUGGUCCCAGUGAUUGAGCUGCUCUUCUGCGGCUCUUGUGGAGUCUGUUGUUCAGCCUGGAGAGCCUUCUCACUGCACAUCCCAGGUAAUCAGACAGCGCUUUAUCAGUAGUGACAAACCUCGUUCCUUUAUGUUAGGAAGCGAUAAUGUGUUAACUGAUUUGCUAUCCAUACCUUUAACAAACUGCAAGGAAAUAAUUUCUUACCCUAAGAAUGCCUUCUGAACAGAGCUGGAGAUGUGCCACCCACAGCCAGAAUAUGUCUCUGCUUCCGUCUUGUGGGCAUUGUGACA